rnacentral:rRNA from 1 species
UGCAAGUCGAACGAACUCUGGUAUUGAUUGGUGCUUGCAUCAUGAUUUACAUUUGAGUGAGUGGCGAACUGGUGAGUAACACGUGGGAAACCUGCCCAGAAGCGGGGGAUAACACCUGGAAACAGAUGCUAAUACCGCAUAACAACUUGGACCGCAUGGUCCGAGUUUGAAAGAUGGCUUCGGCUAUCACUUUUGGAUGGUCCCGCGGCGUAUUAGCUAGAUGGUGAGGUAACGGCUCACCAUGGCAAUGAUACGUAGCCGACCUGAGAGGGUAAUCGGCCACAUUGGGACUGAGACACGGCCCAAACUCCUACGGGAGGCAGCAGUAGGGAAUCUUCCACAAUGGACGAAAGUCUGAUGGAGCAACGCCGCGUGAGUGAAGAAGGGUUUCGGCUCGUAAAACUCUGUUGUUAAAGAAGAACAUAUCUGAGAGUAACUGUUCAGGUAUUGACGGUAUUUAACCAGAAAGCCACGGCUAACUACGUGCCAGCAGCCGCGGUAAUACGUAGGUGGCAAGCGUUGUCCGGAUUUAUUGGGCGUAAAGCGAGCGCAGGCGGUUUUUUAAGUCUGAUGUGAAAGCCUUCGGCUCAACCGAAGAAGUGCAUCGGAAACUGGGAAACUUGAGUGCAGAAGAGGACAGUGGAACUCCAUGUGUAGCGGUGAAAUGCGUAGAUAUAUGGAAGAACACCAGUGGCGAAGGCGGCUGUCUGGUCUGUAACUGACGCUGAGGCUCGAAAGUAUGGGUAGCAAACAGGAUUAGAUACCCUGGUAGUCCAUACCGUAAACGAUGAAUGCUAAGUGUUGGAGGGUUUCCGCCCUUCAGUGCUGCAGCUAACGCAUUAAGCAUUCCGCCUGGGGAGUACGGCCGCAAGGCUGAAACUCAAAGGAAUUGACGGGGGCCCGCACAAGCGGUGGAGCAUGUGGUUUAAUUCGAAGCUACGCGAAGAACCUUACCAGGUCUUGACAUACUAUGCAAAUCUAAGAGAUUAGACGUUCCCUUCGGGGACAUGGAUACAGGUGGUGCAUGGUUGUCGUCAGCUCGUGUCGUGAGAUGUUGGGUUAAGUCCCGCAACGAGCGCAACCCUUAUUAUCAGUUGCCAGCAUUAAGUUGGGCACUCUGGUGAGACUGCCGGUGACAAACCGGAGGAAGGUGGGGAUGACGUCAAAUCAUCAUGCCCCUUAUGACCUGGGCUACACACGUGCUACAAUGGAUGGUACAACGAGUUGCGAACUCGCGAGAGUAAGCUAAUCUCUUAAAGCCAUUCUCAGUUCGGAUUGUAGGCUGCAACUCGCCUACAUGAAGUCGGAAUCGCUAGUAAUCGCGGAUCAGCAUGCCGCGGUGAAUACGUUCCCGGGCCUUGUACACACCGCCCGUCACACCAUGAGAGUUUGUAACACCCAAAGUCGGUGGGGUAACC